rnacentral:lncRNA from 1 species
AAACUUUCUGGCAUACACAGUCUUGACUUCUGCUCAAGUGAUAGCUAGCACACAACCAGGGCUCCUUUGUCCUGCUGCAUUCUGCCAGAGGGGUUGCCUACACCCUAGCUCCUAAGAAUUGGUGCAUCUGCCUAGAAGAACCAAGAAGAUAGUGGAGCCUGGGGGUGGACAGAGCAUCAUCCAGUACAGGGAGACGACGAGGCAAACACAGCUUUAAUCAAAGAAGAGGCGAAGGAAGUCUCAAGGAAAUGGUGACCCAAAUCACUACAGAUUGGAGAGCUCUGACCUUUCACGAUUUCAAG